GACGGGGGGGGGCAAGUGUUCUUCGGAAUGACUGGGCGUAAAGGGCACGUAGGCGGUGAAUCGGGUUGAAAGUGAAAGUCGCCAAAAAGUGGCGGAAUGCUCUCGAAACCAAUUCACUUGAGUGAGACAGAGGAGAGUGGAAUUUCGUGUGUAGGGGUGAAAUCCGUAAAUAUACGAAGGAACGCCAAAAGCGAAGGACAGCUCUCUGGGUCCCUACCCGACGCUGGGGUGCGAAAGCAUGGGGAGCGAACAGG
rnacentral:rRNA from 1 species